rnacentral:rRNA from 1 species
GAUCAGUAGGGGUUCUGAGAGGAAGGUCCCCCACAUUGGAACUGAGACACGGUCCAAAAUCCUACGGGAGGCAGCAGUGAGGAAUACUGGUCAAUGGACGAGAGUCUGAACCAGCCAAGUAGCGUGCAGGAUGACGGCCCUAUGGGUUGUAAACUGCUUUUAUAAGGGAAUAAAGUGAGUCUCGUGAGACUUUUUGCAUGUACCUUAUGAAUAAGGACCGGCUAAUUCCGUGCCAGCAGCCGCGGUAAUACGGAAGGUCCGGGCGUUAUCCGGAUUUAUUGGGUUUAAAGGGAGCGUAGGCCGGAGAUUAAGCGUGUUGUGAAAUGUAGACGCUCAACGUCUGCACUGCAGCGCGAACUGGUUUCCUUGAGUACGCACAAAGUGGGCGGAAUUCGUGGUGUAGCGGUGAAAUGCUUAGAUAUCACGAAGAACUCCGAUUGCGAAGGCAGCUCACUGGAGCGCAACUGACGCUGAAGCUCGAAAGUGCGGGUAUCGAACAGGAUUAGAUACCCUGGUAGUCCGCACGGUAAACGAUGGAUGCCCGCUGUUGGUCUGAAUAGGUCAGCGGCCAAGCGAAAGCAUUAA